rnacentral:rRNA from 1 species
UACGGGGGGGGCAAGCGUUGUUCGGAAUUACUGGGCGUAAAGGGCUCGUAGGCGGCCAACUAAGUCAGACGUGAAAUCCCUCGGCUUAACCGGGGAACUGCAUCUGAUACUGGAUGGCUUGAGUUUGGGAGAGGGAUGCGGAAUUCCAGGUGUAGCGGUGAAAUGCGUAGAUAUCUGGAGGAACACCGGUGGCGAAGGCGGCAUCCUGGACCAACACUGACGCUGAGGCACGAAGGUCAGGGGAGCAAACGGG